rnacentral:lncRNA from 1 species
UAAGGGUAUUCUAGUCAUUUUAGUUUUUUUCCUUAUGCUAUUACAACAUCAUUCCAUUCAACCAAACACAAGAAUACCAUUAUAGUUCUAUUCCAUUCCAUUCAACCAAACAAUUGAAUUACUAUUACAGCUCUAUUCCAUUACAGCGAACCAAAUGUGCCCUUAUAGUUUUGCAGCUGAAACAUUUAGAAAGAUGUAUGUCGAAACCAUUUUUAAUUUUGAAAAGCGGGGAUCGACUUUGAAAACGGAAAUGGGAGUCGCCACCGAUAUUUUAUUGAGGUGUGAUCAGAUCACCUCUUAAAUAAUUUUAGGUCUGCGAAUUUUGAGAAAAUAGGUUCGGGAAUCGGUUACGCACGAGGAAGGGUUAGCACCCUCGUAACACCCAAAAUUGGUACCGAAUUGAUUGCUUAAUGUCUUAAUAUCGAAACCUUAAAGAUUUUAAUGUACGAUCCUUGAUGAGAAAAACUUGAACAAACUAGAUUGAAUAAUAAGAUGCAUUUAUUUCGAGAAAAUAAAUUGUCACACUCAGUAAGUUAGGGUGUUACAAUUCAAUCUCCGAAAUUAAAUGUGUUCUUUUUAAAAAAAAAAAGAGUUUAAAGAAGGUUAUUUGAUUGUUUAAGUCAAUCGAGAAAUCAGAAUCCCGUAAGUUAGGGUUCAAUUUCUCAAAAUUCUUAAGCCACAAAUAUUGUCUUUAUUUUAAAAACGAGAUAACAAAAUGUUGUAUCCAGUAAGUUAGGAUCAAACAUUUUGAAACCUUAAGAAUUUUAUUUUAAUAAUCGUGAUUUGAAUAAAAUGAGCGCUUGAUCAUCUAAAUUCAUCGAGAAGAAUCGAAGCCCAGUAAGUUAGGGCCUGAUUCUCUCGAGAACCUACGAACGCCAAGCCUCUUUAAAGCUUAUAAAAUAAAACGAUUAUGACGCUUUAAUAAAAUACAACUUUUACAAACGGAACAUGAUUGAAUAACGAUACAUCUAAUAAUUCAAUCUUAAAUUAGAAACAAUUAAACGAAUAAUAGGCCAAUACAAACAUUGAUUUAAAUCCUAUUACAAACAUCCAUAUAAAAAAUUAAGCAACCCAUAAAUUCAUAAUCAAUUAAAAAAACAAACAAAAACAAUAAAUAAAAGAAAAAAAAAACAGUGAUAAUAAUAAAUAAUGCAAAUAUUUGCUACAAUUUAGUAAGGGAAUAAAAAAGGGUUUGAAUAAAUUUUAAUGAAAGAUCUUUAAAACACAAAGAAACAGAAAACGAAGUAAAAUAAAAGUGAAUAGCUUGGAAUUAAUAUCUACAUUCUAGUCUAUAUAAAUAAAACUUAGUAAAAAUAAUAGUAUACACCUAGUGAUGAUAUAUAAAAGUUGAAUAAAUAGAAUAAAA